UACGUAGGGGGCAAGCGUUGUUCGGAUUCAUUGGGCGUAAAGGGUGCGUAGGCGGCGCGGUAAGUCGGGUGUGAAAUCUUGGAGCUUAACUCCGAAACUGCAUGCGAUACUGCCGUGCUUGAGGACUGGAGAGGAGAGUGGAAUUCCUGGUGUAGCGGUGAAAUGCGCAGAUAUCAGGAGGAACACCAAUGGCGAAGGCAGCACUCUGGGACGUGACUGACGCUGAGACGCGAAAGCGUGGGGAGCAAACAGG
rnacentral:rRNA from 1 species